rnacentral:rRNA from 1 species
AGACGACGCUGGGCGGCGUGGAUUAGGCAUGCAAGUCGAACGGUAUCAUCCUUUCGGGGGUGAGAGAGUGGCGAACUGGUGAGUAACACGUAGGUUAUCUACCCUCAAGACGGGACAACCCAGGGAAACUUGGGCUAAUACCGGAUGUGAGCAACUUUUAGUUGUUUGAAAGGUGGCGUAAGCUGUCGCUUGGGGAUGAGCCUGCGUCCUAUUAGUUAGUUGGUGAGGUAACGGCUCACCUAGGCAAUGAUAGGUAGGCGGCCUUAACGGGUGGUCGCCCACACUGGGAUUGAGAUACGGCCCAGACUCCUACGGGAGGCAGCAGUCGAGAAUAGUCUACAAUGGUCGGAAGACUGAUAGUGCGACGCCGCGUGAACGAUGAAUCCCUUCGGGGUGUAAAGUUCUUUUAUAUGUGAGCAGUGCUUCUUAUAUUAACAGUAUGGGGAGAGAGAUAUUAGCAUAUGAAUAAGCAACGGCUAACUCCGUG